rnacentral:tRNA from 2 species
GCAGUCGUGGCCGAGUGGUUAAGGCGAUGGAUUAGAAAUCCAUUGGGGUCUUCCGUAGAGGUUCGAAUCCUGUCGACUGCG